AAGUACAGCUGAGGCUGAUGGGAAUGACAGUAGUUUUGCAGGCAUUUGUUCAUAAAACAAUUAAACG